AUGGAGUCGAAUGAUGCGACUUUCUUUGAAGAUAUCUUUCCCAUGAAGGAUAUGGCUACCUCAUCUAAUCAGGAGAUGCCUAGUUCAUCGAAUCAGGAACCAGUUACAAUUACCAAACCUACCAUUUCGAUAGAACACUUUGAAAGUCCUGUGGAGGAGAACAAUGAAGUUCCUACUAGGAGCAAGAGACAAAGGAUUGCAAAGUCCUUUGGUGAUGAUUUUCUUGUGUAUCUCAUAGAUGACACUCCCAGUUCCAUUUCAAAGGCCUAUGCAUCUGAAGAUGCUGACUACUGGAAGGAAGCGGUUCGUAGUGAGAUGGAUUCCAUCUUGGCGAAUGAAACCUGGGAGAUAACUGAUCGUCCUUAUGGGUGCAAACCUAUAGGAUGCAAAUGGGUAUUCAAGAAAAAGCUUAGACCUGAUGGUACUAUUGAGAAGUACAAGGCUCGGCUCGUGGCUAAGGGUUAUACCCAAAAGGAAGGUGAAGACUUCUUUGAUACUUACUCACCUGUGGCUCGACUGACCACUAUUCGAGUUCUACUUUCACUAGCUGCCUCGCAUGGUCUUGUCGUUCAUCAAAUGGAUGUUAAGACUGCUUUCCUAAAUGGAGAGUUGGACGAGGGAAUUUAUAUGGAACAACCAGAUGGGUUUGUACUAGAUGGUCAGGAAGGGAAAGUGUGCAAGUUGCUAAAGUCUUUGUACGGACUUAAGCAAGCACCCAAAGAGUGGCAUGAGAAGUUUGAAAGAACUUUAACAGCUGCAGGCUUUGUUGUGAACGAAGCUGACAAAUGUGUGUACUAUCGCCAUGGUGGGGGCGAGGGAGUUAUCCUGUGCUUGUAUGUUGAUGACAUACUGAUUUUCGGAACCAAUCUGAAUGUUAUUAAGGAGGUCAAGGAUUUCCUAUCUCGUUGUUUUGAGAUGAAGGAUUUAGGAGUGGCGGAUGUCAUUCUGAACAUCAAGUUGUUGAGAGACGAUGAUGGUGGGAUUACAUUGCUUCAAUCUCACUAG
rnacentral:rRNA from 1 species